rnacentral:tRNA from 1 species
GGGAGUUUAGCUCAGCUGGUUCAGAGCAUCUGCCAUACAAGCAGAGGGUCGGGGGUUCGAAUCCCUCAACUCCCA